rnacentral:rRNA from 1 species
AAUUAUAAAAUAGAAUAUAAGGGUUGUGCUGGAAUUUUUGGUUUGUAUUAUGUGAAAAUAAAAUAUUAUAAAGGUUUUGUGUUUUUUAAGUAAUUUAUAUUGAAAAUUUUUCUUUAUAUCUAUAGAUUGUACCGUUAGGGAAGUUUGAAAUAGUUAGUUAAGCUAAUUACUAUAAAAGAAUCUGUUUUGGAGUACCUUUUGUAUUAUGGUUGGUUUAAUUGAUGUGGUAGGUUUUGCUUUAGGAACGAAAUGAGACGAGCUAUUUUCCCCUUUUUCUUUUAGGAGAAGUUUCCUGUUGUAGAAAAAACUGUGAAUAGAGGGGGAAUUAGAGGUGAUAUGCUUAUCGAGUUUUAUUUUAGCUUUUUUUUAGGGAAGAGAGUAUUAGCUUUGGUUAAUUUUUGUUUACCUAGAGAGUUUCGGCUGAUCGGGACUUUCUUGGAGGAUAGAACCUUUUUUUUUGAGAAAGAUCAGCAAAAAGGUUCGUUUAUUUUUGUAAAUAGGUUUUUAGCAACUUUUUUAAGGAGGGCGUUUGAGCUUGUUAAUAGAGGGAUGUGGAAAAUUUUUGUAUGUGAAGUCGUUCUCGUUUGGUUUACCUAAAUAUUCUUUUAAUGAGAGAUAAUUAUGGCUAAAUUAGUAAAAUUUGCUCGGCUAAAGGAAAUAAUUAGGAGGAGUUUAUUAAAAUGUGUUUUCUUUUGGAUUUUCUUAUUUUAGUGAGCUGUAGAGAAGUUUAAAAAGAGGAGAGGAACUCGGCAAUUAGGCCCUGCGCCUGUUUACCUAAAACAUCGCCUUUGGAAUAAGAUCAGAAGGUCCGACCUGCCCGGUGAUCGGUGGAUUAAACGGCUGCAGUACUCUGACUGUGCAAAGGUAGCAUAAUCAUUAGCCUAUUAAUUGUAGGCUGGCAUGAAUGGUUAGACGAUGGGGCGACUGUCUUUUCUUUUUUAUUUUAAUUUAACUUUUAGGUGAAGAGACCUAAAUAAGUUAACGGGACGAGAAGACCCUAUUGAGCUUUAGAUUUUUUUGUGAGGAUGUAUUUUAUUUGAAAAUCUUGGGUUGGGGCAACUGUUCCUAUAUUAAAACAGGAAUUUGUUAUGUUGACUUGAAUCUUUUUGUGACCCAAAAAGUUUUGGUAAUUAGAAAAAGUUACCUUAGGGAUAACAGCGUAAUUUUUCUUGAGAGUACAUAUUGACAGAAAAGUUUGCGACCUCGAUGUUGGAUUAAGGUUACCUGGGGGUGUAGCGGCUUCCAAGGGUUGGUUUGUUCAACCAUAAAAACCUUACAUGAUCUGAGUUCAGUCCGUCGUGAGACAGGACAGUUUCUAUCUGUUGGAUUUCCUCUUUCUUGUACGAAAGGACUUUUAGGGGGAGAGGAAGGAUUUUAGUUCUCUCUUUGUAGUAUUACUGGAAUUAAUAAGACGGUU